CAGAAUAUCUGUGGUUACAAUUAGCCCCAACCUGCAGCUUGUCAGGGCUGGGGUAGGCCCUUAAAAAGAAGGAACUCAGCUGAGUUGGGAUGUCACUCUGAAACAAGAAGAGUUAAUGCUCACAGGCAAGCCAGAGGGGUUCCUCAACAAGGAGUAGCUUGAGAGUACAGGCAGCCUGCACCCUCAGGCUGGCAAGAAGAUGGGCUGAACUUUGUUUUGUUGUUAACCCCAGGACUAACUCUUGGCCUUUAGCCACACAGUGUGUGGGAGCUAAGACUUCUUGUAAAGCCCAAAAGGCUGCUUCCCCUCAUUUGUAUAAGGAAGGGGUCCUGGUACCGUGAGGGACUAUUGGAAGUAUUUUCCUUUUUUGUUUGAGUUGUUUUACAAUCCAUGGAAGGGAACAGACUUGCUAAGAGGUACAGCCAGAGGGCGAUACUCCAGGAGCAGACUACAAGAAUGCUACUGCCUGGGGAAUGACAUGCAAGUUUUUCAUUUUGAGACCAAGUCCAAGCCAUCCACACUAUGAUGAGUAGAGGCUGACAAGAUGGAUAUUUGUACAAAGGAGAAGCACAGAGUGGAACAACACACAGCUGGGUCCAAACAAUUUACCUGUGAUUUGGUCUGUAUCCUUGGCUGCAUCCAAGAAGCAUACACCACAGUUCAAGAGAGCCCACGUCUGGGGUGCAGAGGUGUCUUAAUGCCAACCAUGCUGUGGCCAGUCCCUAGAAUAAGCAUGGGCUGCCAAUGACCCCAAGAAGUGGAUAAAACAGCAAGGAGAAGAGAUUUCCCAGCCACAUCUGUGUUCCCUGGCCAUGUGCCCUAUCCAGGAUAUUGGAAGGAUGAGUGAUAUAACACCACCAGAGGAACUUUCUAUAGUGGGAUGAACCUCCCUUGACCGUCUAUGCUGGCUUUAGGGUUACAGCACUGCCCAGGAUCUCAGUUGUGAUAGUUAUUGCAGCUGCAGUUGAAUAGCACUUGACCCUUUGCUUCCACUUUUCCACAUAGAGAAACAUGAAAAUUCUGUGUCUUGUUUUUUCAUCCCCUCACAUGAGUGGCUUUCCCAACACAAAGGGGGAAACACUUUGUGAUGAUAACGUUCUGGUUUUGGAAUCUUCCAAUAUGAUCCACAAAAAAGACAAGCGGAGUGUAAUGAUUCUGCCACUAUAUUAAGCAAGCAGUGAUUGGCCCUUGGGAAGCUCUCAGUAUAUCUUCUUAAAUGCCAGAGUGCACAGAAGAUUACAGGCCAAAAACUGAUGUAAAGGUUCAAGCAUUUCUCCAUGGGACUGAAAUAUCUUUUAUCCUAGAAUUUUUCUUCACAUAAAGUUGCCCGAAUUACUUUUGGGAAUUCACUAAAACUAAAGGUUUCUCUCCUCCUUUGUAGCUUAAGCUAGCACUUGACUGAUUUUUUUUUUCCUGACAGUUCACUAAUAUUUCUCUGGAUUUAUUGAAAUGAACAGGAUUCUCAGUUACUUGACAGCAGUUGGCUUAAUUUCUGUGGAUAAAAUCACUAUAGUGGGCUAUAAAUAUAUAGUGUGUCCAGAAGCACAGUUUGUAUUUUUAGAUUUUUAUUUUAAAGGCCAAAAAUCAGGUACAAACUCUAGAAAGAAAGUACCUUUAGGUGUAACAUGUUUAUUAUGCUGAAAACAAAACACAAAGGUGUUAGUCUCUGAAUGAAGAAGGAAUUGUAUAAGGACUUCAAGGAUCACACUACAUAGAAUGUUAACUUAUGGAUUAAACAUGCAGACCAUUUACUAAGGACCCCAGACAGUUAAUCAAUAAUGUUUUGCCCUAUUCACCUGCACUAUCAGGUUUCAACAGGGAAAAUAAAACUCUCUCCUGCUUCUUGUAUUACUUGAUUCAUAAAGUUUAAAAAAGUAAAAUUUAGACAGAUUUUUAAAUGAAGUUUAUAUAGCAUGACUUCUGGCCAAGUCUCUUAGGCUAAAAAUUCGGAUUCGGAGAGCUCCCUCCUAAUGUCUGGAAAUCAGGCACACUGUGCUAUCAUUUUUGACAGAUCUUACAAACCUGAGUAAGGCUAGGCAAGUGCUUGGCUGGGAGACAAAUAGAGAAUGCAUAGGUGCUACAAGAAACAUUGAUUUGCUAGAUAGAAUUUUCUUCUGAAGUUACUGAACCAAUGAUCUAAUACACUUUGAAUUAGACAUUAAACUGAGUCACUAAGAAUCAGAUGUAGGAAUGAUGAUGCCAACUUCCUAGCCAAUUUUCAGCCCAGCAAUUUACAUUGUGCCUUCUCAAAAUCCCCCCACCCCCCAGAGUUGCACAUGGAUUCAGUAUUCUUUGCUUGCUGUCUUGUUAAAAAAAAUACACAAUUUGGGUUGUUUCUUUGCUGUUUACUAUGCUGCACUUCACCCCAGAGGUGGCUGCAUUUCAGAGUUGUGCAUUGAUCCAUAACUACACUUCCUACCUUACCCACAAAGGAGUUUUGAGGCUUAGUUAGGUAACAUACAAUCUGACUCCCAUUGGGAUCAGUGUGUGUCUUUUUCCCUCUGACUUCAGUGGAAGUUGGAUGGGAUUGCUAAUGUUUUCAAAGCACUUUGAGACCCUCGGAUAAAAAAUGCAAUUGAGAGUCAAAGUAUUAUUAGUGUAUACUUAUUUUAUUAUGAAACAGGGUGAUAGUGAAGGGAUAAUACUUGAAUGUGAUUGAGUAUGGUUCAUAAAAAUGUUACAGUAAACAUAGCUACUCUCAACAGCCUUUUUCUUUCAGUAUUUUCACUUCUCUAAAUGAAUGGAAUGUCAGUCUAGAUUUUCUUUAAAUGCAUGUGUCAUGCUGCAGCAAGUGUCCAUUUUUCUUCAAGAAACAAUGAAAACAAUUCUUUACUCAAGAGAACAAGACCAAAUAAUCCACUGACUAUUGGUUAUUUGAAUUUAAAAAAAUGGUAAAAGUAUCAUUCUAUAGGUCCAAAGUUCCUGCAAGCUAUAGUAUUUUAUUAGAGAAACAAACUAAAGAAAUGAGUUAUGAUUUUUUGUGCUCGUAAAUCAUAUUUUAACACUGAUUUUUGUGGAUCUGCUUUUUAUCACUUUUCCUUUUUCAUUCUUGAUUAUCCUAUUCAGUUUGUUUAAUAUAAUACAUUCUUUGGCUGCACUUCACACUUGGAAAGCAGAUCCACAAUUCAUAAAAGUUCACUAACGAAUCCACUAGAAACAGAGAUAAUUUGAUAGUGGAUAUCUACUGAUUGUGUACAUUGCUGACACAGAAGUAUUCAGCGUGUUACCAUGAAUGGCAAUGCAUUUGGAUCAAACAUUCUUUGAUGAUCUGUGAAAAUAUCAGUGUUGUAUUAGAUUAUCAGAACACAAUACUACACACUUAGAGAUCCUUGGAUUAAAAAGGUACUACCUAAGUGCUUUGUAAAGUUGGAUGCUUUACAAAUGGGAAUAGUGAUGAGCAUGUAUUUGAAAGUCUGCACUGAAGUCAUGCAUGCAGAACAGCCAUUGUGAGAUAGGUGAAAAGAGACUUCACCUUUCGCUGAACAUCAGGUAUUGACCACUGCUGUGGGCAGAACAUGAGACUUGAUUGACCAAUAGUAUGAUCUCGUAGGAUAUUUUAUGCUUGUUCCUAGAAGAUGUCAUGCUUUUUCAGCUGACAGCAUGAUGUCUUUCCAGGUUCUUUUUGCCACCAUGGCAACUUAAAAACCUUCCCCAGGUGACAUCUAGGUUUCCUAUUUCCCCUCGGUUUUAUGUUAACU